rnacentral:rRNA from 1 species
ACGCUCGACACCUACGGAAGGCAGCAGUGGGGAAUAUUGGGCAAUGGAGGCAACUCUGACCCAGCAACGCCGCGUGAGUGAUGAAGGUCUUCGGAUUGUAAAACUCUUUAAGUAGGGACGAAGAAAGUGACGGUACCUACAGAAUAAGCCUCGGCUAACUACGUGUCAGCAGCCGCGGUAAUCUGAGCGGGCUGGCAAGGC